GCCAGGGUGGCAGAAUCCGGCUAUUGCGCACGCCUCGAAAGCGUGUGUCCGCAAGGACAUCCCGGAACCUUUUACGAAAAGGUUCAUCAAAAGUAGUCAAGUGGGACAUUCGCUGCGCGAAGUCCCACGAACUGAUGUAAAAUUUCGUAUUUGGUGGGAACUUCAAAUCCGGGCCCUGGCG
rnacentral:tRNA from 1 species